rnacentral:rRNA from 1 species
UACGAGAGGCCCAAACGUUAUUCGGAUUUACUGGGCUUAAAGAGUUCGUAGGCGGCGCAGAAAGUAGGGUGUGAAAGCCCUCGGCUCAACCGAGGAAUUGCGCCCUAAACUACUGUGCUUGAGGAACCUAGAGGUGAGCGGAACUGAUGGUGGAGCGGUGAAAUGCGUAGAUAUCGCUUGGAACGCCGACGGUGAAAACAGGUUGCUGGGAAUGUGCCGACGGCUG